rnacentral:rRNA from 1 species
AACGAACGCUGGCGGCAUGCCUAACACAUGCAAGUCGAACGAGACCUUCGGGUCUAGUGGCGCACGGGUGCGUAACGCGUGGGAACCUGCCCUUAGGUUCGGAAUAACUCCCCGAAAGGGGUGCUAAUACCGGAUAAUGUCUUCGGACCAAGGAUUUAUCGCCCUUGGAUGGGCCCGCGUUGGAUUCGCUAGUUGGUAGGGUAAAAGCCUACCAAGGCGACGAUCCAUAGCUGGUCUGAGAGGAUGAUCAGCCACACUGGGACUGAGACACGGCCCAGAAUCCUACGCGAGGCAGCAGUGGGGAAUAUUGGACAAUGGGCGAAAGCCUGAUACAGCAAUGCCGCGUGAGUGAUGAAGGCCUUAGGGUUGUAAAGCUCUUUUACCCGGGAUGAUAAUGACAGUACCGGGAGAAUAAGCUCCGGCUAACUCCGUG